rnacentral:hammerhead_ribozyme from 1 species
GCACUGCUGACGAGUCCUAAACAGGACGAAACAGCUGUCUAGUGC